ACAUGUAAUAUACAGAAGAACUGAACCCUUGUAAGUAGGUAGGUAGGUAAAUAGGUGGGAUUUGAAUAUGUGAACAUUUUAAUGUGAUUUAAGGACAAGUGAGGGAAUGACUGGUCGCCAGCAAAUGAACCGCUGAACAAAGGAAUAAGAAGACAGAGAAGAUCAUGAAAAUCCUGGAGGGGACAGGGAUGAACGGACAGACAUUGGGAGUAAAUGGACAGAUAAGGGGAAUGGAUUGCAAUGAAGCUCUCGCUUUCCUCUUUCCCUUUCUUUCCAACUCCUCUUCCUACACUUCCUCAGUUUCCUUCCCCACCUUUCCCACUCCCCUUCCUUAACUUCCACGACUUUGCCUUCUCCCCCUGUUGCUUCGCCUUUUCCUUCUAUCCCAUUGUCUUCUCCUCCUUCCCUUGCCUCACCCGUGGUCCGUCCUCCAAAGAGUGAAGAAGGCGCUGCUGCAGUCCAGUGCCAUCUUGGAGGCCUUUGGCAAUGCCGAGACCAACCGCAGUGACAACUCCUCCCGCUUUGGCAAGUACAUGGACAUCAACUCUGACUUCAAGGAUGACCCCAUUGGUAGCCACGCACAGAGUUACCUGCUGGAGAGGUCCCGUGUCGUCCUCCAGCAGCCAGGAGAAAGAAACUUCCACUCAUCCUAUCAGGGUGACAUGAAUUCACUUCUGGGGGUGAUGUGUCGCCGGUCAGGUGACCAAGGCACUAUGCCGUCGCGUGAUUGCAGCGAGAGGCGAGGUCAUGGAGAAGCGGCACACAGAGAGCGAGGCCAGCUAUGGGCGUGAUGCGGUUGCCUCGGUUAGCAAGUCAUAGGCAGCCUCCUUAAUCACAUUUGGUGAUCGCUGGAGACGUCCUCGUGGGGAACGGCAGAGUGGGGAGUGCGAGGGACGGGAGGGAGACGCCUCGGCAUCCGCGAGAGGAAGCCCAGGUUCCUCUGCGUCCCGGUCUGCUGCCAGGAACACGAUGGACGAAGGUGUUAUCCUCAAGCCUAGUGAGGAAGAUCAGCAGAAAUGACAAGAUGUCUGAGCGAGCCAUCCUGGUGACAGACAGACAGAUCUGCAAACUGCACAGCAAGACUCACGCCUUUGGGAUCCCCCAUUCCAGGAGGUGAGAAUUGGCAUUUUUUCUUUCCUUCUUUUCUUUUCUUUUCCUUGCUGCUUUUACUUCUUAACUUAC